GACGUAGGGCGCAAGCGUUGUCCGGAAUUAUUGGGCGUAAAGAGCUCGUAGGCGGCUUGUUGCGUCGACUGUGAAAAACCACGACUCAACCGUGGGACUGCAGUCGAUACGGGCAGGCUAGAGUUCGGUAGGGGAGACUGGAAUUCCUGGUGUAGCGGUGAAAUGCGCAGAUAUCAGGAGGAACACCGAUGGCGAAGGCAGGUCUCUGGGCCACUACUGACGCUGAGAAGCGAAAGCAUGGGGAGCGAACAGG
rnacentral:rRNA from 1 species